GUUUUGUCAUCCCAAUCCAUCCCUGCCCCGCCCCAGGACACCUAACCAUCCCAGAGGUCCCCGAGCACCAGGCCACUAACACCUCACAGCUCCUCACCAGGCUGAAACCGAGUGGUUGAUGACACAUCUCUCUGUGGUUUUACGUGCAUGUAAUCCCACACGCAACCAUUCCCGGGCAGGCAGAACAGACAGAGCCACGGCAAUGAAUCCACAACCUGGCUGCACGGUCACAACAUCUGUACCAGCCUGAGACGUGCACACAGGGGCCAAACAUGCCUCGUGCUAGAGGCAAACACAUCGUUGCUUCUUGGAGGCUGCAAGCACCAGUGAGGCACCAGAUUUCACGGUCUGGAUUGGAGCCUCACGACUCCAGGUGCAAGGACAACAAACGAGAAUGCCAGUGGUUACAAAACAUGGACUAUAAGUAACUGGUAGGUAAUUAUGGAGGGACGUGUCUGUGUGGCUCAGCUCCAACAUCAACAGAGGGAAGAGCCUUGCCUAUUGAGUCAUCAGCAGCAUUUCCUUCCAGCCCCUGGGUUUUCCGACAGGCCCCCUCUGAGUUACUAUCCCAACCCACAGUGGCUGAGCUCAUAAAGGCUGCUGAGCUCACAUCCCCAGGGAACAGGGCACCAGUCCCCCACAGCCAGGAGAGGUUUCCUGGCCACAGCCAUGCUUCAAGGACAUGGUGCCUCACCAGCCUCUUUAUUACAGCAACUGAACUGAAUACCAACCACAUUCCAGUUCCAGCCAUCAAAGAAGCUCUCAAGACACCCUGUCAUAACCAACCCUGUCAUAGCCCAACAAGGGCUGCUGGAGUCACACGAGAGUUUUGGUGCCCCACCCCUUUGGUUAUCCAUGAGUCCCAAACUGUCCACAGCCCAACUGCCCCCAUGUAGGAACUAGGUCAGCACUUCCUCUGCAGGACGAGAAUGUGGCUCAUGUGAGGUUAUUAAAUGAGAGGAAGAUGUUUCUUAAUCAGGGACCAGAUACCAUCUAAAAAGUGCAGAAGUGUGCCAGACCUUCACAUUAUCACAAGGGGAGUGAAUACACAAUUUGUUACCUCAUAAAAAAGUCACUGAAGGGCUUCAACAACAUGCAGGACGUAGGACUCUCAAAACCUCAUCUCACUGGAUCAGGUGCCAGAUCCCAUGAACAAAGCAUCUGGUUUGAUGGGGACCAGAGGGUAUCUGCCAGGGUUCUGCAGUAAAGCACCUGCUCAGCUGGCUGUGGGCUUUUCUGUGCUACUGCAACAGCACCUUUACAUCUCUACCAGAGCAGAGUAAUUCCCCAGGUCUGCAGGACAUCUGAAGACAUUUCUGAAGAUCAGAUAAGAUCUUCAGAUAAGAGGAAGCUGAAAAAUUCAGCUUUAGAACCACACAUGUCUCUGAAACAAUAAAUGUUUUGAGUGAUCAGCA